rnacentral:lncRNA from 1 species
UUUUCACCAACAGGAAGAGGAACCAGGAUCAGUCCACUUAGAUGUACUGACUGCAUCAUUUAGUCCUCAGCACAAGGGGGCGAUCUUAUCACCAACCUACGGAUAAGGAAUCUGGCUGGGAAGGACUGAAUGACCUGCUCAAGGUCACACAUCUAGAAAGAGGCACCUUUAGGACUUGAAUGAGAUGACUUUUAUAUCAAUGCCUGGGCUCCUAAUCGCCAUGCUGUCUUGACCGUCUGCAACAAACCCUUCACUCGACAAAUGGGGAUGUUAAGGCCCAGAAAGGCAAAGAAAGUUCCCCAAGGUCACAAGAUCAAUUGGCCACAUAGUUGAGGCUGGCUAAGAGAAAAGAAUAAUUUCUUGCUGGAUUCUUGGGAGAACCAUACAGGAAUAAGCUCAUGGUUUCGACUUUGUUGGUUCUCUAGCAGGACGCAGGUAUCCUCAAGGUCACAGACCCCUGAUCUCCAUUCCCCUGGACAUCUCAAGGGCACAAAUUCUCUGGACACACGGAGGGAAUAAUGCUGACAUUUUAUAGAAGCUGACCCACUGGAUAUCCUUCUCACCCAACUCCAUUAGGCUGGGGAGAGUAAGAGGCACGGUGACAAGGUGGCAAAGAUGUCACCAUGCCAUCCAAUCACGAGGUCUCCAGGAAACUGUAUAAGAAGGACACCUCCAGAAACUCCUGGCACUACUGAACAAAUGUAUAAUAUCCCUGGGUAAAACCAAGAGUC